rnacentral:rRNA from 1 species
UACGUAGGGUGCGAGCGUUAAUCGGAAUUACUGGGCGUAAAGCGUGCGCAGGCGGCUUCGCAAGUCAGACGUGAAAUCCCCGGGCUUAACCUGGGAAUGGCGUUUGAAACUACGGAGCUGGAGUGUGGCAGAGGGAGGUAGAAUUCCACGUGUAGCGGUGAAAUGCGUAGAUAUGUGGAGGAAUACCGAUGGCGAAGGCAGCCUCCUGGGUCAACACUGACGCUCAUGCACGAAAGCGUGGGGAGCAAACAGG